UACGUAGGGGGCAAGCGUUGUCCGGAUUUAUUGGGCGUAAAGAGCUCGUAGGUGGUUUGGUAAGUCGGAUGUGAAAUCUCCAGGCUCAACCUGGAGGGGUCAUUCGAUACUGCCAUGACUAGAGGUCGGUAGGGGAGUGUGGAAUUCCCGGUGGAGCGGUGAAAUGCGCAGAUAUCAGGAGGAACACCCGUAGCGAAGGCGGCACUCUGGGCCGAUUCUGACACUGAGGAGCGAAAGCGUGGGGAGCGAACAGG
rnacentral:rRNA from 1 species